rnacentral:miRNA from 1 species
AUUCCUUCCAAUUGAUGAGGUAUUUGCACCUCAUUGACCCAAAGGGAUUCCUUUGGAUCAAUGAGUUAUUUGCACCUCAUCAAUUGUAAGACAUUCUUUCCGGUCAAUGAAUAGCAAAGACUUCACCAAUUGGAAGGAAU